UAAAACUAUUCCACUGCUGACAGAUGUCCUUUAAGAUUAAGAAACCUACAGUAACCAGAUACUGGGCCAUAUGAAAGUUUUCUACUUUCCUACAGUCCAUGAGAGAACUCACACAAUGAGAAGGAUGGAGCCCACGCUGAGAUGAGACUC